rfam:Bombyx mori DNA, contig: Bm_scaf12_contig9549, strain: p50T/Dazao, build 2, whole genome shotgun sequence.
UUAACUCUAAUUUGUAUGGAGUUGGAACGUUUGCCUAUAUUUGCCGCUAGGGGCGCUGUUCCAACUGCAUACAAAUUUGAGUUA